UACGGAGGAUGCAAGCGUUAUCCGGAAUGAUUGGGCGUAAAGCGUCCGCAGGUGGCUGUGUAAGUCUGCUGUCAAAGAGCGAAGCUCAACUUCGUAAAGGCAGUGGAAACUACACGGCUAGAGUGCGUUCGGGGCAGAGGGAAUUCCUGGUGUAGCGGUGAAAUGCGUAGAGAUCGGGAAGAACAUCGGUGGCGAAAGCGCUCUGCUGGACUGCAACUGACACUCAGGGACGAAAGCUAGGGGAGCGAAUGGG
rnacentral:rRNA from 1 species